rnacentral:sRNA from 1 species
UGUUAAGUGGUUUAUGGAGCCCAUAGA